rnacentral:lncRNA from 1 species
GCACCUGCCCGCCGGCUGGGCGGCGGAUACCGGCCGAGUUGAGUCGAUUUGGCUCUUGUUUUGUAAACUAGCCUUUGUCUGGUAAGUGCGGCUAAAAUACUUUAAACCCUUGUUAACCCCUGCAGUACCUUAUCUGGGGCCCACACAGGCUCUGGUUUGGAAACAAAAAGCGGGACCACCAGAUGAAAAGGGGGGCGCUUCUUUUGUGAAAGCCUGGAACAAAGGGCCCCGCGGAUUCUGGCUGGGAACCCCCCCCACAAGCCGAUUUCCGGGGCAGCAGGUCUUGUUGGGGUACUUUGAAAUGUCCCCAGUUGGCCGGCUGGGCCCUCUCCCCGGGAUUCUUCCCCUCCUCCCGCUGGAAGGUGGGGGGGCCCAGGUGAGCAGGCUGCCCCUGGGCCUCCCUUGGUGUUACUUCAGCUCGGGGCACGGAAGCAUUGCUCAGCCUGUCUUUACGGGCUGCCUCCACCUUUGGGGAUGGCAGAACCUGAGGCGCAGGCUGCUGCCUGACUCAGCCGCCCUGCCACAGGUGAGGGGGGCCCAGGGCGCAGGCUCCGACUGGCAGCCCGUGUGUCAUCUGCGUGCGGCUGCUGGCGGAUUGUGCGGGGAGUCACCACCCCGCCCGUCUGCCCCCGGGACUAGGAAGCUGUCUGCAGGCCGGGCUCUGUGAUAACAGCUACACGGAUGCGUCCCAGUGGCCCCCUAUCAGUGCCGUCCUGACCUCUGGGUGAAGGGGGGUUGCUGAGUUGGCCAUGGCCACUUUGUCUACUGCGGCAACAUGCGAAGGGGGCCUCGGGAGCCAGCCAGGAUUUUCCUUUUGGUGAACCUUAGGGGCGGUGCAGGUCUGGAGCCUGGAGCUGGUGAGCAGCCAGGGCGGUGACCCGGGGUCAGCCCCGCCUUAGGCAGGGAGGCUGGGAAGCCGGUGUCCUGGUUCCAGGCACCGUCAUUCUGUGAGGCCGGGCUCCGAGCAGGGCAGCUCGGCCGUCCCCGACGGCGCAGGCCCUGACCUGUGGGGGCCAGCUCACCGAAUCCUGGCUUGGCACAGCUGAAGAGGGUUUAUAGAUGCCCCAAGCUUGCUUUCCUACAGCUGCUGGUGACCAGGCUUCCCUAACCCAGUAAAGCCACAGCUGCCGGGUUCGUGGCCGCGGCCUGGGGAGUUCUCAGAGUUCCCCAGGUGAGUCUCACUUGCAGAGGAGACUGGGAAUCACUUCCCUAUUGGGUGAGCACAUUGAGGCCCAGAGGCAGGUGGGGGUCGCACCCACGUUCACAGCAAGAAGCAGACCCCUUCAGAAGCUCCAGCGCCCUUUGCCAAACCAUGCCUCUGGCCUUCAGUAACUUCCCGGUCUCAAGGGCAAGGUCAGACAGAGGCUGUAGAUCCACCCGAGAGAGCCUUGGAACCUUGGGGUUUCGGAGCCAAAGAAGCCUCCUACCCCUGGGUUCAGCAUCGCCGGCCAGAGAAGCCAGAGCAAAGCUGGCACAGCGCCACUCUGUGGCAUAUCUGCGUUCUGCACCUCCCAGCCGGGCACCUCCCCAGCCCACUGGGUCCCCUGAUGGCCCUCGACCCUUGGGUAGGCGAGGUCCCUGCUCCCCUGCUCUGAAGGAGGAAGGGCCUCCGGGCUUAGAGCCCCUACCUGAGAGGUGGGUGCCCACGGCUCCUACUUUGCCAGAGGAACGCAGGUGAGCGAGACCUGGCUGCUAGCGCUCUCUCUCGCCCCGGGAACGCGUAGGGGCUUGUGGAGUCAGCCAGCAAGGCAGGUUUUGCCUGGUCCCAUGCGAAGGCUUGGAAUUCCCAGUCUGGGUUAUUCGAAGUCCACAGCGGGCUGGGGUUGGGUGGUAGCGCGUUAAUUACCUGUGUUAUGGCAACACAGCAGCCUCCAAACCACAGGGCUGCGUGAAGCCGGCCGGCCCCCCUUGCCCGGCGUGCCAGCAGAGCUGUUUUCCCGAGCUGCAGGGAUCCGUGUUCCAGGUGACAUUUCAGCUUGGCCACUCGCUUCCAUUUCUCUCCUCUCUCGUCGAGUGUGGUGCGGGCCGCCGAGCCCCUGGCUCCGCUUCCCCACACUGGCCUUUCUCCCCGAUCGAGGCCACAGGCGGGAGGGGACGUGUUCCUGUCAGUGAGAAUUUAUUGAGCGCCUGCUGUGAACCUGGCCCGCGCCGGCUGCUCGGAGGUGUACAUGCAGAUAAGACCGGAGCGCAUCCCGAGCGGCCCUUUGCACGCCUGCCAAACGGCGCGCCGGGGGCCUUUUAAUCUCGCCUCUGCAGCUUCGUUCCCCCACCAGCCUCUUGACGUGCGCCUCUGCUCCAGCAGGAUGGAACCACAGGCCUCCCUGCUCCGUGCCCUGUCCCUGCCUUUGCUGGGGCUGCUCCUCUGCCUGGCACUCUCCUGUCAGCUGCGAAGCCCGGGGUCCCUGAGACCAACCCCACCCCCCGCCGCCUCUCCCUCCCCAAAGCCUAGAGCACAUCCAGAGGGGAAGCUCCUGCAGAGCUGGGCGAAGUGAGAGCAGCCUCCGGAGAGGGUGGGGAGGCCUGGCGGGAACCAGCAUGUGCAAGCCUCUAUGGAAGAAAGGGCUUCUGGCUGAACUUGAGGCUUUGAAGGGGUCCCCGGGGGACCUGGCGGACUCUGGGAGGAACUUAACUGAGGAAGGAGAUGUGGGGGGAGCCGGAAGCCCUCAGACCAGGUGUUCAUUCUUGACUACAUUUUAGAUUCACCUGGGGACUUUUUAAACCCCCAGCCCCCCAGCCCAGGCCGCACCUGUGACCGGUGAAGACCCAAAUCUCUAGGGUUGGGGCCCGGGUAUCUGAGCUUCCAAAGCCCCAGCUGAGCUCCAAGAGCCUUCUGCUGGGGGUGGGGAGCCGUGGGUGAGGCAUCCUCGGUGGAGAGGGGGGGCUGCUGCUUCCUCAGGAGAAUUGCGGUCCCACGUGGGAGGCCAGAGUUUGCUGUUGGCCCCAGAGUUGCCCCAGGUGAGCUGCAAGCCCUUCUCCUAAAGGGGCCUUCCCGUGCGGGUUGUGCUUGGAUGGGUGGCUUCUCUGUCUCUGGAGCGCUGGCCAAGCCUUCCCUUCCUGGAACCGGUUCCUCCAGCUGGAGGUGUGAGAAGUUGCACGUUGCAUGGCUUUUUGGAAUCAAGGAUUGAGGUGACAUAAUGCAUGUCACAGGCCCGUGCCUGAACGGGUCAACAAAGAGGAAGGGCCGAAGCCCUCCGGGGGCUGGGGGAAGAGCCCGUGUCUGCUCUUAGUGGCCUGUUGGUCUGUCUCUGACCAGGGCAGUCACCUCUGGCUGAACCUGUGUGACUGGCACACUUGCGGGCCUGGGUUUUCUCUCUAAAGGAGGAAUGGCCGUGGCGCCCACGUUGUUGGGCUGUAGAGGGUUAACCGCGUUCUUAUAGAGCGCUCAGAGCAGCGCCUGGCACGGAGGGCACUCGUGGUGGGGUUUGUCAGGAAGCGCGCCAGGUCAUCCCCGACUUGGUGGCUCUAGGAGUCCUGGGAUUUUAACCGAGGACACCGGAAGGCUCGGUCCACUGCCCUCUGUGGCCUCCCAGGGGCUCCCUGGAGCCCCCACUGACCCUCCCCCUGGUGAGGCUGCAGGAACCAAAGGGUUCUUCUGGGGCCUGGCCCACUACCAGGGUCUUGGACACGCAUGGACGCGCAUACCCACCCCUCUGGGGGGACUUGCUGCCCCCUGCCCCACCCUGUGGUGGUGGGUGGGAUUGCUGGUGGUGCCUCUUCUAGCCCUGCCCUUCCUGUCCAGUUGGCACAUCUGUGCCCGCAGGCAGCAGCAAAAGGUUUCCUUCCAUCAGUUGGCUUUUGGUCAGGGAGGGCCCUAUCGACAUUGGCAGGUGGAGGCUUCUGAAGGAAAAUCCAUGUGUCAAAAGCUGAGGAGGAUCAGGCCUGCAGGCGGAGUGGGUGGGGCCUCCUUAGGGCCCCCCCGGGCGUCUCCACCAUCUCCCCCCCCACCCCCAGCUGAGCUAGGGCCCCAGGCGCCCCCUGCUGUGCCACCGGCCUGUUUGGGGACAGGAAGGAUGAGAUGUCCUGGGGUGGUUCUCACUCUGUCCUCUUGUUCCCUGAGGGUCUGGCUGGCAGGGUCGGGAUUACCCUGUUUGGCCAUCAACUGGGAGAAACAGGAGCUCAUCUGUCUGCCUCCUCUCGCCCCACGGGGGCUCACGCUGCUGCCCCCCACCAGACAUCCGUGAAGGAUAAAACCCAGGGGCAGGAACGGAUUCUUCCUGCCAGAUUUCUGGGGUCUGUUUGUCUUUGAAUGUAUUUGUGUAGCUUUUUUACGUCGGCUGUGUGGUCUCUCUCCCUUCACUUAGGCACAGAGGGACGUGCUAGACCAGACGACGGCCAAGUUGAAUACAGGUCAAGGUGAAAUUCUCCAUCAGAUGGGAACACUGGAGGGACUUCUGCAUCCCAGAGGUGGCAGGCCUGUGUGACUGCCCCCUGCCACUUCGUGGGGCGGUGGGGUGGGGGGAAGAGGUGAGCUGCCCUCAUUUCACAGGAUGAGAAAACUGAGGCUCAGAAUCGGCCCCUGAGGCUCUGUCCUCGGGGCCCUGUUUAGAGGAGCUCUUGAGAAGGAUUUCUGGCCGACCCUGCUCGGGCUCGCGGGGGAAGGGAAGUGUGGGCUGCGAUUGUCUGUUUUAGAUCAGAUUGAUGGCUGGGCCUUUCUUUUCUGGACACAGGGACGUAGCUUUUUGGAAAUAGUUGUCUCGUGAGACUCUAAGACGCGGGAGGGCUUCCUUGGUGGCACUGCUAGUGCCGGGAGCCUGUCAGCUGGGCACAGGGAGUGGGUUGUAACCACACAGCCGGUUUCCAAGUUGAAACUUGCAGGACUGCAUCGCCUCCCUCCUCGCGCGGUGCUGUGUGUCGUGGGGUGUCUGGGCUGGGCUUCUUCCAGCCUGGGCCCCGGAGGCCCCCCCGCCGUUUGGUGCUGCCGUGUUCCCAGUUCCCACGGGCGUGUUCUCACUUCAUGACAGUGACCCAUCUGUGAUCCCUUGAAUAGGUCUUGGGAGGGGAAAAGGCCGGGUGUGACGUCUUGAUGUCUUGAUGUCCUGCAUCAUUAAAAACGUUGCCAGGAAAGGGAGGUCCCGUCGUGGCGCAGUGGUUAACGAAUCCGACUAGGAACCAUGAAGUUGCGGGUUCGAUCCCUGUCUUUGCUCCUUGGGUUAAGGAUCCGGCGUUGCCGUGAGCUGUGGUGUAGGUUGCAGAUGCGGCUCGGAUCCCACGUUACUGUGGUUCUGGUGUGGGCCAGCGGCUACAGCUCCGAUUCGACCCCUAGCCUGGGAACCUCCAUAUGCCGCGGGAGCGGCCCUAGAAAAGGCAAAAAGACAAAAAACAAAAACAAAACACACACGUGGCCAGAUUCCUCCAGAAAGAGUUGUGGGGACUCGCCUUUCUACCCAUGCUGCAACCUAGACCCUUAUUUACCCGACUCUGGCUGAUUGGGGUUCCCUCUGCACCCCUCAGCCUCCAGGGCGUUCAUUCUCCCCACAAGGGAGAGAAAACCUGUCCAUCAGCCUUGAGGCUUUUGUGGCGCCAGCAGUCGAGCUCGGGGGCAGCCAGGCCCACCCCUCACCAGGUGACCUGGGAGCCCUUCGAGGUGAAGCCUGGUACCUGAGAGAGCCAAUUCUGGCCUCAGCAUCCUGCCUGGGUUCCUGGAACCCUGUGGAGGGUUUUCGUUGUUUAGGCCUAGGCAGUUGGCUGCUCAGCCACUGAUGGAUGUGGCCUGAGGACGGUAUCCGGCCUGGCCUGGCGUGUGGCAGGGUUGGGUCUAGGCAGCUCACAGGGGGUGGCUUGUGAAUGUUUUUGUGAACCUCUACUGGUGGCCCCACUCGGAAACCCAUUUUGGCUGCAGCUUAGUUGUUUUUUGUUAAGUGGGGCAGUGACUGAUGUUUGGGCAUGGUACAUAGGGCUUUGAAGAUGGUAGAGGAGCCUGAGUGAGGAAAUACCAUUAGAACUUAGAUCAUGGAGGAGUCCCCCUUGUGGCCCAGCGGGUUCCAAACCUGAGUAGUAUCCAUGAGGAUGUGGGUUCAAUCCGUGGUGUCGCUCAGUGGGUUAAGGAUCUGGUGCUGCUUUGAGCUGCAGUGUAGGUCACAGACGAGACUCGGAUCCCGAGUUGCUGUGGCUGUGGUGUAGGCCAAUAGCUGCAGGUCCGAUU